ACAUCGGUGACAGGUGGUGCAUGGUUGUCGUCAGCUCGUGUCGUGAGAUGUUGGUUAAGUCCGCAACGAGCGCAACCCCUAUUGUUAGUUGCCAUCAUUCAGUUGGGGCACUCUAGCGAGACUGCCGGUAAUAAACCGGAGGAAGGUGGGGAUGACGUCAAAUCAUCAUGCCCCUUAUGACCUGGGCUACACACGUGCUACAAUGGUUGGUACAACGAGUUGCGAGUCGGUGACGGCGAGCUAAUCUCUUAAAGCCAAUCUCAGUUCGGAUUGUAGGCUGCAACUCGCCUACAUGAAGUCGGAAUCGCUAGUAAUCGCGGAUCAGCACGCCGCGGUGAAUACGUUCCCGGGCCUU
rnacentral:rRNA from 1 species